rnacentral:rRNA from 1 species
CCUACGGGAGGCAGCAGUGAGGCAUAUUGGUCAAUGGCCGGAAGGCUGAACCAGCCAUGCCGCGUGAAGGUCAGUGCCCUAUGGGCGUUAAACUUCUUUUGUGCGGGAGCAAUAAUGGUCACGUGUGGCCAGACGAGAGUACCGUACGAAUAAGCAUCGGCUAACUCCGUGCCAGCAGCCGCGGUAAUACGGGGGAUGCAAGCGUUAUUCGGAUUUAUUGGGUUUAAAGGGUGCGUAGGGUGUGAGGUAAGUCAGCGGGGAAAUGCCCCCGCUCAACGGGGUGAAGUGCCAUUGAUACUGCCGUGCUGGAAUGCGGAAGCGGUGGGAGGAAUGUGUGGAGUAGCGGUGAAAUGCAUAGAUAUCACACAGAACACCGAUUGCGAAGGCAUCUCACGAAUCCGCGAUUGACGCUGAUGCACGAAAGCGUGGGUAUCAAACAGGAUUAGAGACCCGAGUAGUC